ACGAACGCUGGCGGCGUGCUUAACACAUGCAAGUCGAACGGAAAGGCCCUGCUUUUGUGGGGUGCUCGAGUGGCGAACGGGUGAGUAACACGUGAGUAACCUGCCCUUGACUUUGGGAUAACUUCAGGAAACUGGGGCUAAUACCGGCUAGGAGCUCCUGCUGCAUGGUGGGGGUUGGAAAGUUUCGGCGGUUGGGGAUGGACUCGCGGCUUAUCAGCUUGUUGGUGGGGUAGUGGCUUACCAAGGCUUUGACGGGUAGCCGGCCUGAGAGGGUGACCGGCCACAUUGGGACUGAGAUACGGCCCAGACUCCUACGGGAGGCAGCAGUGGGGAAUAUUGCACAAUGGGCGGAAGCCUGAUGCAGCAACGCCGCGUGCGGGAUGACGGCCUUCGGGUUGUAAACCGCUUUCGCCUGUGACGAAGCGUGAGUGACGGUAAUGGGUAAAGAAGCACCGGCUAACUACGUG
rnacentral:rRNA from 1 species